rnacentral:rRNA from 1 species
UACGUAGGUGGCAAGCGUUGUCCGGAAUUAUUGGGCGUAAAGCGCGCGCAGGCGGUCCUUUAAGUCUGAUGUGAAAGCCCACGGCUCAACCGUGGAGGGUCAUUGGAAACUGGGGGACUUGAGUGCAGGAGAGAAGAGUGGAAUUCCACGUGUAGCGGUGAAAUGCGUAGAGAUGUGGAGGAACACCGGUGGCGAAGGCGGAUCUCUGGGCCUGUUCUGACGCUGAGGCGCGAAAGCUAGGGGAGCGAACAGG